UACGUAGGGUGCAAGCGUUGUCCGGAAUUACUGGGCGUAAAGGGCUCGUAGGCGGCCAACUAAGUCGGACGUGAAAUCCCUCGGCUUAACCGGGGAACUGCGUCCGAUACUGGAUGGCUUGAGUUUGGGAGAGGGAUGCGGAAUUCCAGGUGUAGCGGUGAAAUGCGUAGAUAUCUGGAGGAACACCGGUGGCGAAGGCGGCAUCCUGGACCAACACUGACGCUGAUGAGCGAAAGCCAGGGGAGCAAACGGG
rnacentral:rRNA from 1 species